UACGGAGGGUGCAAGCGUUGCUCGGAAUUAUUGGGCGUAAAGGGUAGGUAGGUGGUCUCAUUUGUCUGGGGUGAAAGCCUUGAGCUUAACUCAAGAAGUGCCCCAGAAACGGUGAGACUAGAGUCCUGGAGAGGGUCGUGGAAUUCCCGGUGUAGCGGUGAAAUGCGUAGAGAUCGGGAGGAACACCAGAGGCGAAAGCGGCGACCUGGACAGGCACUGACACUCAACUACGAAAGCGUGGGGAGCAAACAGG
rnacentral:rRNA from 1 species